AGUGAACGCUGGCGGUAGGCCUAACACAUGCAAGUCGAACGGCAGCACAGGAGAGCUUGCUCUCUGGGUGGCGAGUGGCGGACGGGUGAGGAAUACAUCGGAAUCUACUUUUUCGUGGGGGAUAACGUAGGGAAACUUACGCUAAUACCGCAUACGACCUACGGGUGAAAGCAGGGGACCUUCGGGCCUUGCGCGAUUGAAUGAGCCGAUGUCGGAUUAGCUAGUUGGCGGGGUAAAGGCCCACCAAGGCGACGAUCCGUAGCUGGUCUGAGAGGAUGAUCAGCCACACUGGAACUGAGACACGGUCCAGACUCCUACGGGAGGCAGCAGUGGGGAAUAUUGGACAAUGGGCGCAAGCCUGAUCCAGCCAUACCGCGUGGGUGAAGAAGGCCUUCGGGUUGUAAAGCCCUUUUGUUGGGAAAGAAAUCCAGCUGGCUAGUACCCGGUUGGGAUGACGGUGCCCAAAGAAUAAGCACCGGCUAACUUCGUGCCAGCCGCCGCGGUAA
rnacentral:rRNA from 1 species